GAUGAACGCUAGCGGCAGGCCUAAUACAUGCAAGUCGAACGGUGUCUUCGGACAUAGUGGCGCACGGGUGCGUAACACGUAUGCAACCUACCUUACAUUGGGGGAUAGCCUUUCGAAAGGGAGAUUAAUACCGCAUAAGACAGUAGCUGGGCAUCCAGCAGCUGUUAAAGAUUUAUCGAUGUAAGAUGGGCAUGCGUCCAAUUAGUUAGUUGGCGAGGUAACGGCUUACCAAGACUUUGAUUGGUAGGGGAACUGAGAGGUCAAUCCCCCACACUGGCACUGAGAUACGGGCCAGACUCCUACGGGAGGCAGCAGUGGGGAAUUUUGGACAAUGGACGCAAGUCUGAUCCAGCCAUUCCGCGUGCAGGAUGAAGGCCCUCGGGUCGUAAACUGCUUUUGUACGGAACGAAAAGGUUUCCAUUAAUACUGGGAGCUCAUGACGGUACCGUAAGAAUAAGCACCGGCUAACUACGUG
rnacentral:rRNA from 1 species